CAGUUUUUGUUCAGGCCACGCAAUGGAAGAAGUUCAGAAGGUUACAUUUAAAAUGGAUAACCAACUAUUUUCCACAGAAGCGGCACCAGGGAAUGCAAAA